GUGCUUUGUCAUAAUUUAAAACUCAUUAUGUUGAAGUCUUUUCCAGUUGAUAAAAUUGCAAUUCAAAAACUUUUAGGUAGGUACGUGUAACUUCCACAUUAUUAUUUAUUUUUUAAGUAUUAAGGUUGAUGUUGAUAUCAAAAAUUUAGAUUUCAAAGAUAGUUUUAUGUAGGUAGAUACUAAUAGAGUAAUCUAAAUACUAAUAAACUAGAUAAUAGAUUAGAUACAAAGUAAGCUGUAAGUAGUAUAACUGCCCAUGUAAUCACCUGUUAUGUUGUUUUUUUUUAGAUUUGUACUGUAUGGAUGGCACAGGAAGAAAACAGAGAACAAGAGUACAAGAACAUGAAACAUCUUAUUAUGAUGUAUAUGUAUGUGAUCCUCAAAAAAUUAUUUUUAAAAACAAGAUAGAGAAUGAGCUUUAAAAUCCCAAGGAUCCUGCAAAAUGUCUAUUUGGUGUACUAGUCGAAUAAUAGUAUCUAAAAAUAAUGAAACUGUUUUAAGACACAUUAUGGGCAUGAGGAUGAUAUAGAGCACUUACAUAAAUACCAAAAUCAGAUAAAUAUCUCUUCAAAGUUUAUUUUGAGACUUUCUUCAAAAAUUAAACUUCAGACUGUCCAGGAUAGCAUAAUAGCAUAGGAGGCAAAUUAAAAAGAAUUAAUUUACUUACAAGAAGAGAUAUCACAAACAUU